rnacentral:rRNA from 1 species
UGCAGUCGAGCGCACUCUUCGGAGUGAGCGGCGGACGGGUUAGUAACGCGUGGGAACGUGCCCUUCUCUAAGGAAUAGCCACUGGAAACGGUGAGUAAUACCUUAUACGCCCUUCGGGGGAAAGAUUUAUCGGAGAAGGAUCGGCCCGCGUUAGAUUAGAUAGUUGGUGGGGUAACGGCCUACCAAGUCUACGAUCUAUAGCUGGUUUUAGAGGAUGAUCAGCAACACUGGGACUGAGACACGGCCCAGACUCCUACGGGAGGCAGCAGUGGGGAAUCUUGGACAAUGGGCGCAAGCCUGAUCCAGCCAUGCCGCGUGAGUGAUGAAGGCCUUAGGGUCGUAAAGCUCUUUCGCCAGAGAUGAUAAUGACAGUAUCUGGUAAAGAAACCCCGGCUAACUCCGUGCCAGCAGCCGCGGUAAUACGGAGGGGGUUAGCGUUGUUCGGAAUUACUGGGCGUAAAGCGCACGUAGGCGGAUCAGAAAGUAUAGGGUGAAAUCCCAGGGCUCAACCCUGGAACUGCCUUAUAAACUCCUGGUCUUGAGUUCGAGAGAGGUGAGUGGAAUUCCGAGUGUAGAGGUGAAAUUCGUAGAUAUUCGGAGGAACACCAGUGGCGAAGGCGGCUCACUG